GGAUUGAACGCUGGCGGCAGGCCUAACACAUGCAAGUCGAGCGGCAGCACGGGUACUUGUACCUGGUGGCGAGCGGCGGACGGGUGAGUAAUGCCUAGGAAUCUGCCUGGUAGUGGGGGAUAACGCUCGGAAACGGACGCUAAUACCGCAUACGUCCUACGGGAGAAAGCAGGGGACCUUCGGGCCUUGCGCUAUCAGAUGAGCCUAGGUCGGAUUAGCUAGUUGGUGAGGUAAUGGCUCACCAAGGCGACGAUCCGUAACUGGUCUGAGAGGAUGAUCAGUCACACUGGAACUGAGACACGGUCCAGACUCCUACGGGAGCAGCAGUGGGGAAUAUUGGACAAUGGG
rnacentral:rRNA from 1 species